GACGAACGCUGGCGGCGUGCUUAACACAUGCAAGUCGAACGGAAAGGCCCUGCGUUUGUGGGGUGCUCGAGUGGCGAACGGGUGAGUAACACGUGAGUAACCUGCCCUUGACUUUGGGAUAACUUCAGGAAACUGGGGCUACUACCGGAUAGGAGCUCCUGCUGCAUGGUGGGGGUUGGAAAGUUUCGGCGGUUGGGGAUGGACUCGCGGCUUAUCAGCUUGUUGGUGGGGUAGUGGCUUACCAAGGCUUUGACGGGUAGCCGGCCUGAGAGGGUGACCGGCCACAUUGGGACUGAGAUACGGACCAGAGUGCUACGGUAGGCAGCAGUGGGGAAUAUUGCACAAUGGGCGGAAGCCUGAUGCAGCAACGCCGCGUGCGGGAUGACGGCCUUCGGGUUGUAAACCGCUUUCGCCUGUGACGAAGCGUGAGUGACGGUAAUGGGUAAAGAAGCACCGGCUAACUACGUG
rnacentral:rRNA from 1 species